rnacentral:tRNA from 1 species
GUGCCUGUAGCUUAACAGGAUAGAGCACCGUGCUACGGACGCGGAGGUUGUGGGUUCAAGUCCUACCUGGCAU